AACGCGAAGAACCUUACCUGGGUUUGACAUGCACUGGACGCCGGUAGAGAUAUCGGUUCCGCAAGGCUGGUGCACAGGUGGUGCAUGGCUGUCGUCAGCUCGUGUCGUGAGAUGUUGGGUUAAGUCCCGCAACGAGCGCAACCCUCGUUCCAUGUUGCCAGCGCGUAAUGGCGGGGACUCAUGGGAGACUGCCGGGGUCAACUCGGAGGAAGGUGGGGAUGAGGUCAAGUCAUCAUGCCCCUUAUGUCCAGGGCUUCACACAUGCUACAAUGGCCGGUACAGAGGGCUGCGAAGCCGUGAGGUGGAGCGAAUCUCACAAAGCCGGUCUCAGUUCGGAUCGGGGUCUGCAACUCGACCCCGUGAAGUCGGAGUCGCUAGUAAUCGCAGAUCAGCAACGCUGCGGUGAAUACGUUCCCGGGCCUUGUA
rnacentral:rRNA from 1 species